UCGAUUAAGCCAUGCGAGUCGAGAGUCUUAGGGACUCGGCGCACCGCUCAGUAACACGUGGGUAACCUGCCCUAUGCUGGGGGAUAACCUCGGGAAACUGAGAAUAAUACCCCAUAGUUCACCACGCCUGGAACGGUGGGUGGAUCAAAGCUCCGGCGGCAUAGGAUGGGCCUGCGACAUAUCAGGUUGUAGGGGGUGUAACGUACCCUCUAGCCAUCAACGCGUACGGGUGUUGGGAGACAUAUCCCGGAGAUGGAUUCUGAGACACGAAUCCAGACCCUACGGGGUGCAGCGGGCACAAAAACUUGGCAAUGCGAGCAAUCCUGACCAGGGAACUCCAAGUGGCGGGUGUAAUACCCAGUUUUUUCUUGACUCUUCAAAGGUCUUGGAAUAAGGGGUGGGUAAGGACAGUGCCAGCCGCCNCGGUAAUACCGGCCCUCAAGUGGUAGUCGCUUUUAUUGGGCCUAAAACGUCCGUAGCCGGUCUGGUGCAUUCGUGGGUAAAUCAACCCGCUCAACGGGUUGAAUUCUGCGAGCACGGCCAGACUUGGGACCGGGAGAGGUGUGGGGUACUCCCAGGGUAAGGGUAAAAUCCUGUCAUCCUGAGAGGACCACCUGUUGCGAAGGCGCCA
rnacentral:rRNA from 1 species